GGCAGUGGCUCAACGGUAGAGCCCUUGCCUAGCAUGUGGGAGGUACUGGGUUUGAUACUCAGCACCA
rnacentral:tRNA from 1 species